rnacentral:rRNA from 1 species
CUUUCACGCUGGCUGCCGUCCUAACACAUGCAAGUCGAACGAGUGGCGGACGGGUGAGUAAUGUAUGGGAAACUGCCUGAUGGAGGGGGAUAACUACUGGAAACGGUAGCUAAUACCGCAUACCAUCAGAUGUGCCCAGAUGGGAUUAGCUUGUUGGUGGGGUACCGGCUCACCAAGGCGACGAUCCCUAGCUGGUCUGAGAGGAUGACCAGCCACACUGGAACUGAGACACGGUCCAGACUCCUACGGGAGGCAGCAGUGGGGAAUCUUGCACAAUGGGCGCAAGCCUGAUGCAGCCAUGCCGCGUGUAUGAAGAAGGCCUUCGGGUUGUAAAGUACUUUCAGCGGGGAGGCGUUACCCGCAGAAGAAGCACCGGCUAACUCCGUGCCAGAAGCCGCGGGAAUAC